UACGGAGGGGGCUAGCGUUGUUCGGAAUUACUGGGCGUAAAGAGCGCGCAGGCGGUCGUUCAAGUCGAGUGUGAAAGCCCCCGGCUCAACUGGGGAGGGUCACUCGAUACUGAUCGACUUGAAGGCAGGAGAGGGAAGCGGAAUUCCCGGUGUAGUGGUGAAAUGCGUAGAUAUCGGGAGGAACACCUGAGGCGAAGGCGGGCUGACUGGCCGAGUACUGACGCUGAGGCGCGAAAGCCAGG
rnacentral:rRNA from 1 species